GCUGAUGCGUUGUUGGGUAGGGGAGCGUUCUGUAAGCCUGCGAAGGUGACCUGUGAGGGUUGCUGGAGGUAUCAGAAGUGCGAAUGCUGACAUAAGUAACGAUAAAGCGGGUGAAAAGCCCGCUCGCCGGAAGACCAAGGGUUCCUGUCCAACGUUAAUCGGGGCAGGGUGAGUCGACCCCUAAGGCGAGGCCGAAAGGCGUAGUCGAUGGGAAACGGGUUAAUAUUCCCGUACUUGGUGUUACUGCGAAGGGGGGACGGAGAAGGCUAUGUUGGCCGGGCGACGGUUGUCCCGGUUUAAGCGUGUAGGUGUGUGUUCCAGGUAAAUCCGGUUCACUUUAACACUGAGGCGUGAUGACGAGGCACUACGGUGCUGAAGCAACAAAUGCCCUGCUUCCAGGAAAAGCCUCUAAGCAUCAGGUAACAUCAAAUCGUACCCCAAACCGACACAGGUGGUCAGGUAGAGAAUACCAAGGCGCUUGAGAGAACUCGGGUGAAGGAACUAGGCAAAAUGGUGCCGUAACUUCGGGAGAAGGCACGCUGACACGUAGGUGAAGUGAUUUACUCAUGGAGCUGAAGUCAGUCGAAGAUACCAGCUGGCUGCAACUGUUUAUUAAAAACACAGCACUGUGCAAACACGAAAGUGGACGUAUACGGUGUGACGCCUGCCCGGUGCCGGAAGGUUAAUUGAUGGGGUCAGCGCAAGCGAAGCUCCUGAUCGAAGCCCCGGUAAACGGCGGCCGUAACUAUAACGGUCCUAAGGUAGCGAAAUUCCUUGUCGGGUAAGUUCCGACCUGCACGAAUGGCGUAAUGAUGGCCAGGCUGUCUCCACCCGAGACUCAGUGAAAUUGAACUCGCUGUGAAGAUGCAGUGUACCCGCGGCAAGACGGAAAGACCCCGUGAACCUUUACUAUAGCUUGACACUGAACAUUGAGCCUUGAUGUGUAGGAUAGGUGGGAGGCUUUGAAGUGUGGACGCCAGUCUGCAUGGAGCCGACCUUGAAAUACCACCCUUUAAUGUUUGAUGUUCUAACGUGGACCCGUAAUCCGGGUUGCGGACAGUGUCUGGUGGGUAGUUUGACUGGGGCGGUCUCCUCCUAAAGAGUAACGGAGGAGCACGAAGGUUGGCUAAUCCUGGUCGGACAUCAGGAGGUUAGUGCAAUGGCAUAAGCCAGCUUGACUGCGAGCGUGACGGCGCGAGCAGGUGCGAAAGCAGGUCAUAGUGAUCCGGUGGUUCUGAAUGGAAGGGCCAUCGCUCAACGGAUAAAAGGUACUCCGGGGAUAACAGGCUGAUACCGCCCAAGAGUUCAUAUCGACGGCGGUGUUUGGCACCUCGAUGUCGGCUCAUCACAUCCUGGGGCUGAAGUAGGUCCCAAGGGUAUGGCUGUUCGCCAUUUAAAGUGGUACGCGAGCUGGGUUUAGAACGUCGUGAGACAGUUCGGUCCCUAUCUGCCGUGGGCGCUGGAGAACUGAGGGGGGCUGCUCCUAGUACGAGAGGACCGGAGUGGACGCAUCACUGGUGUUCGGGUUGUCAUGCCAAUGGCACUGCCCGGUAGCUAAAUGCGGAAGAGAUAAGUGCUGAAAGCAUCUAAGCACGAAACUUGCCCCGAGAUGAGUUCUCCCUGAGACUUAGAGUCUCCU
rnacentral:rRNA from 1 species